ACCAGGAAGAAGAGUUGAAUAAAAAUAAUGCUGGCGAUGGGAUGGAAGAUGACAAUACAAUUACAUGUCAUAAUAAGGAUUCGCAUAACACCAGGACUGGAUGUGAACAUGCGUUAACAAUAAUAACAACUGGUAACCAGGAGGACAACAUGAGAAUUUCACAUGAGGUUGGUGAUACAAGUUCUCCGUGUCACGUAGCACAUGAACAAAUGGAACAUAUUGCUGCAUCCUCAGAAGCU